UACGAAGGGGGGCUAGCGUUGCUCGGAAUUACUGGGCGUAAAGCGCGUGUAGGCUGCUCUGCAGGUCGGAUGUGAAAGCCCUGGGCUCAACCUAGGAAGUGCAUUCGAAACCGCGGAGCUUGAGUCUUGGAGAGGGUCGCGGAAUUCUCGGUGUAGAGGUGAAAUUCGUAGAUAUCGAGAGGAACACCGGUGGCGAAGACGGCGACCUGGACAAUGACUGACGCUGAGACGCGAAAGCGUGGGGAGCAAACAGG
rnacentral:rRNA from 1 species